rnacentral:tRNA from 1 species
GGGGCCGUAGCUCAGUUGGGAGAGCGCCGCUUUUGCAAGGCGGAGGUCGAGGGUUCGAGACCCUCCGGCUCCACCA